AGUGAACGCUGGCGGUAGGCCUAACACAUGCAAGUCGAACGGCAGCACAGUAAGAGCUUGCUCUUACGGGUGGCGAGUGGCGGACGGGUGAGGAAUACAUCGGAAUCUACUUUUUCGUGGGUGAUAACGUAGGGACACUUACGCUAAUACCGCAUACGACCUACGGGUGAAAGCAUGGGAUCUUCCGACCUUGCGCGAUUGAAUGAGCCGAUGUCGGAUUAGCUAGUUGGCGGGGUAAAGGCCCACCAAGGCGACGAUCCGUAGCUGGUCUGAGAGGAUGAUCAGCCACACUGGAACUGAGACACGGUCCAGACUCCUACGGGAGGCAGCAGUGGGGAAUAUUGGACAAUGGGCGCAAGCCUGAUCCAGCCAUACCGCGUGGGUGAAGAAGGCCUUCGGGUUGUAAAGCCCUUUUGUUGGGAAAGAAAAGCAGCAGGUUAAUACCCCGCUGUUCUGACGGUACCCAAAGAAUAAGCACCGGCUAACUUCGUG
rnacentral:rRNA from 1 species